ensembl:ncRNA Y7A5A.23 ncRNA
GACUAUCUGGUGGAAGGUCAAAUGCUUUUUUUUCAAAUUUUUACACUGACGAAUUCAAUGGACGAAUAAGUUACAAGUUUUUCUGGAACAUCAGUACGAAGAUGCUGAGAGAUGAACUCAGCGAGUUGAUCCAGAUGAAUGAAGUGCUCCGAGUGAAAAGUGAUGGUUUCGGGAUGCUCUAGGAGAGGCUCAACAACAAAUAAUCGAUAGAAAUAGAAUACGUUUGGGAACACCAUCGGAAAGAAAUCAAGGCACUGGAAGGGCGAUUUGAGUAACUGAAG